ACGCACUGUCUUUCAGUUUGAUGUCCAGAGGAAGUACUUCAAGGAAGCUCUUGAUAGAUGGGCGCAGUUCUUCAUCCACCCACUAAUGAUCAGAGAUGCAAUUGACCGUGAAGUUGAAGCUGUUGAUAGUGAAUAUCAACUUGCAAGGCCUUCUGAUGCAAACAGAAAGGAAAUGUUGUUUGGAAGCCUUGCUAGACCUGGACAUCCUAUGGGAAAAUUUUUUUGGGGAAAUGCUGAGACGCUCAAGCAUGAGCCAAGAAAGAAUAAUAUUGAUACACAUGCUAGAUUGAGAGAAUUCUGGAUGCGUUACUACUCUUCUCAUUACAUGACUUUAGUGGUUCAAUCCAAAGAAACACUGGAUACUUUGGAAAAGUGGGUGACUGAAAUCUUCUCUCAGAUACCAAACAAUGGGUUACCCAGACCAAACUUUGGCCAUUUAACGGAUCCAUUUGACACACCAGCAUUUAACAAACUUUAUAGAGUUGUUCCAAUCAGAAAAAUUCAUGCUCUGACCAUCACAUGGGCACUUCCUCCUCAACAGCAACAUUACAGGGUGAAGCCACUUCAUUAUAUAUCCUGGCUGGUUGGACAUGAAGGCAAAGGCAGCAUUCUUUCUUUCCUUAGGAAAAAGCAAGUAUUCAAUUAAUAAGUAUUUUCAGUAUAGCAAUCUCUGAAAAAUAGUAGACAAUAAGUAUUAUAUAAUGCAUUCUUUUACUUUAGCUGCCAGGAAGCCUAGAAUAAAAUUUAAUGCUUAAUUAUAGUUAUUUUAAUAACUUACAUUAUUUUAAUGGCCAUAUUAUAUUUGUGUAUUUCCUUGUAAGCCACCUUUUAGCCCAUUGUUGGAAGUUAUUUGUACACAAAAUUUUAAAAAAUCAUAAAUGAAAUUAAUAGAUUCCAGAAUUACAUAAAAGAAUUAGCUCUAAUCAAGAAUUUAUAUUUGACUGAAUGGUAAAGAAAUCAAUUAUUUAAAUGCCAUGGAUCUCCAGGCUUUCCUAACCCCCAAGGCUAGACUU
rnacentral:lncRNA from 1 species